rnacentral:rRNA from 1 species
CAGUAGCGCGGUAAUACGAAGGGUGCAAGCGUUAAUCGGAAUUACUGGGCGUAAAGCGUGCGUAGGCGGUGAGUUAAGUCUGCUGUGAAAUCCCCGGGCUCAACCUGGGAAUGGCAGUGGAUACUGGCUCGCUAGAGUGUGUCAGAGGAUGGUGGAAUUCCCGGUGUAGCGGUGAAAUGCGUAGAGAUCGGGAGGAACAUCAGUGGCGAAGGCGGCCAUCUGGGACAACACUGACGCUGAGGCACGAAAGCGUGGGGAGCAAACAGGAUUAGAUACCCCGGUAGUCCCUGUCUCUUAUACA